rnacentral:rRNA from 1 species
UACGUAGGGCGCGAGCGUUGUCCGGAAUUAUUGGGCGUAAAGAGCUCGUAGGCGGCUGGUCGCGUCUGUCGUGAAAUCCUCUGGCUUAACUGGGGGCUUGCGGUGGGUACGGGCCGGCUUGAGUGCGGUAGGGGAGACUGGAACUCCUGGUGUAGCGGUGGAAUGCGCAGAUAUCAGGAAGAACACCGGUGGCGAAGGCGGGUCUCUGGGCCGUUACUGACGCUGAGGAG